GAAGCGGCGAAAAAUGCAUCUAAAGGUAACCUUUGUAGCUCCAAGGCACACGGCGCAAACCGGAACGGAUAGUGGUGAAUUUUCCGAAAAAGCCGAUGGGUAUCGACCCAUCGACUUUUUUUUUAUCGACUAAUCUUCUUAGGAGCUCAAUCAGCGCAAUAUUCCGGUUAGUGCUGGACACUGGAAAAAAUGGCACCAGAUGUUGGCUUCGACGAUUUUCACUGCGCCCUAGGAGGAUUGUUUUUGUGGAAUCAAUAGUGGUAAUAUUACCAGUUGAAUAACGUGUCAAUAGAUUUACCUGCCAUAAAUUCGAUACACCAGCAUUAUCAAAUACCGGAAAUAGCAUGGAAAACCUUCUUGAUUCACCCAAAGUAUCAAGAUUCAGCUGCUGCAAAUGGUCCUGUUUUACGGUAACACUAAAUUCGUUCUUCUUAUGGCAAUGAAGUCUUCCGAUAGCGCUGGGCUCAAUUAUGCUAGCCAAUAGAGGCUUCCAGUCGAUAUGUGCCAUUAUAAUACUGAAAAGCCGGAACAAGACGGACAAUUUGCUGAUAUACCAGCGGUAUACUUCAGGAUCCCUAACGCAAAGCCCAUCAUUUGAGCUAUCGGAAAAUCUGACUAUCUUCUUAAAAAA